ensembl:lncRNA TBX3-AS1 TBX3 antisense RNA 1
AGAUGCGCCUGGGGCCCCAGGGAGGAGAACGGGAUGCCGGUCUCGGCCGCCCCCACCAAUUGAUCCAUGAUCGGCUUGGCCAGGGCGCCCGGCAGCGAGAGCGCCGCCGCGCCGUUGGGAGGCAGCGUCAGCGCGGGGAAGAACGGCGGCUGGUGACCCAGCACCGCGCUCAUGGCGAAGUCCGGCGCCCGGUGAGUCUCACUCUGUCGCCCAGUCUGGAGUGCAAUGGUGUGAUCACGGUCACUGCAACCUCUGCCUCCCGGGUUCAAGCGAUUCUCCUGCCUCAGCCUCCCAAGUAGCUGGGAUUACAGAAGAACAGAGCCAAGGAGAGGGUCAGAAAUACAGACAACACCUGCAAAACAGAAACAUGAAAACUCAGCUACAUAAGGAGAAAUAGAGACCGUGGCUCAUGCCGGGAAUCCCGGCACUUUGGGAGGCUGAGGUAGGCGGAUCACUUGAGUCCAGGAGCUCGAGACCAGCCUGGGCAGCAUACGGCUUGCAGUAAACUUCUUGGAGGAGAAUUGGCAUUGCAAGGGUGUUACUGGAGACCUCGGCAAGAAAGUGAAUGCAAAGACAGAUGACCCAGGAACCCGUGAUGGAUAAGGCUCUUGACAGCCAGGACGUGGAAUUACAGGGGGUCUCUUUGAGAGACAAAAUAAAAAAAAUAGCCCAGUAAUCUUCCUUCCACCCUUUUCUCCCAGAUCUAAUUACAGAUGUCUUGACAUUCCUUCUGCAUAGAAUUUCCUUAAAAGAUUUGCCAAGAAGAAACAUUUGGAAACUGUGUUUUAGGUAUAAUCCGUCUGGGAGUCACUCUUGCUCGCUUUGUCGUUAGAUGACAAAACGCUUAAUUACAGCGAGCACAAUGUAUACCACAUUUGGAAAACUGGAUUCUUGACCUAAAUAAUGUACCCCAUACUGACAAUGGCCUUUUGGCAAAACUUGUGUCUCUGAUCUCACAUUAAUUACUACACAAAUAUACUUAUUGUGGGCACCGAGUUUAUGGGAUGGAGUCCUCUUGACACAUGUUCACCAUAAAAACACAUUUUUUUCCCUUCCCCUGACCCUAAGGAAAAGAAAAAAAAAAAGAUUAACAUUUUUCAAGAUGCUGUUUUAGUGACAUGAAAACUGUCUGUUGAGUGUUCACUCGGCUUUUGUUCUUUUUCUUUUCUCCUUUUAUUAAAAAGCCUUUCAAACCAA